UACGGAGGGGGGCUAGCGUUGUUCGGAAUUACUGGGCGUAAAGCGCACGUAGGCGGACCAGCAAGUUGGGGGUGAAAUCCCGGGGCUCAACCCCGGAACUGCCUUCAAAACUGUUGGUCUGGAGGUCGAGAGAGGUGAGUGGAAUUCCGAGUGUAGAGGUGAAAUUCGUAGAUAUUCGGAGGAACACCAGUGGCGAAGGCGGCUCACUGGCUCGAUACUGACGCUGAGGUGCGAAAGCGUGGGGAGCAAACAGG
rnacentral:rRNA from 1 species